rnacentral:rRNA from 2 species
UACAGAGGUCUCAAGCGUUGUUCGGAAUCACUGGGCGUAAAGGGUGCGUAGGUGGCGUGGUAAGUCAGAUGUGAAAGCCCGGGGCUCAACCUCGGAACUGCAUCCGAUACUACCAUGCUAGAGUACUGAAGAGGAAACUAGAAUUCUCGGUGUAGCAGUGAAAUGCGUAGAUAUCGAGAGGAAUACCAAAGGCGAAGGCAGGUUUCUUGGCAGUUACUGACACUGAGGCACGAAGGCCAGGGGAGCGAACGGG